rnacentral:rRNA from 1 species
CACCUAGGCGACGAUCCCUAGCUGGUCUGAGAGGAUGACCAGCCACACUGGAACUGAGACACGGUCCAGACUCCUACGGGAGGCAGCAGUGGGGAAUAUUGCACAAUGGGCGCAAGCCUGAUGCAGCCAUGCCGCGUGUGUGAAGAAGGCCUUCGGGUUGUAAAGCACUUUCAGCGGGGAGGAAGGCGGUGAGGUUAAUAACCUCAUCGAUUGACGUUACCCGCAGAAGAAGCACCGGCUAACUCCGUGCCAGCAGCCGCGGUAAUACGGAGGGUGCAAGCGUUAAUCGGAAUUACUGGGCGUAAAGCGCACGCAGGCGGUCUGUCAAGUCGGAUGUGAAAUCCCCGGGCUUAACCUGGGAACUGCAUUCGAAACUGGCAGGCUAGAGUCUUGUAGAGGGGGGUAGAAUUCCAGGUGUAGCGGUGAAA